rnacentral:rRNA from 1 species
UUAAUUGAAGAGUUUGAUCAUGGCUCAGAUUGAACGCUGGCGGCAGGCCUAACACAUGCAAGUCGAGCGGCAGCACAAGGGAGUUUACUUCUGAGGUGGCGAGCGGCGGACGGGUGAGUAAUGCCUAGGGAUCUGCCCAGUCGAGGGGGAUAACAGUUGGAAACGACUGCUAAUACCGCAUACGCCCUACGGGGGAAAGAGGGGGACCUUCGGGCCUCUCGCGAUUGGAUGAACCUAGGUGGGAUUAGCUAGUUGGUGAGGUAAUGGCUCACCAAGGCGACGAUCCCUAGCUGUUCUGAGAGGAUGAUCAGCCACACUG